rnacentral:tRNA from 1 species
UUGGGCUUUAGCUUAAUUAAAGUGUUUGAGUUGCAUUCAUGAGAUGUAAGAUAGUCUUGCAAGUUCGA